AUCGCUUCUCGGCCUUUUGGCUAAGAUCAAGUGUAGUAUCUGUUCUUAUCAGUUUAAGAUCUGAUAUGUCCUCUAUCUGAGGACAACAUAUUAAACGUAUUUUUGGAAAUAGGAGUUGGACCAGGAGCUUGCUCCAUCCACUCCACGCAUCAGCCUGGUAUUGCAGUAUUUCCAGGAAUGGUGCAGCCCCU
rnacentral:snRNA from 15 species